UCUUUAUGACUCUGUUUGGGGUUAUCUUGGCAGAGAUGCUAGAGUGGUUUGACAUUUCCUUCUCCAGCUUAUUUUGCAAAUGAACAAAGUUAAUUGACUUACCUAGAGUCAUACAGUUAGUGUUUGAGGCUGGAUUUGAACUCAUGAAGUCUUCUUGACUUCAGACCUGUUGCUUUAUCAACUGUGCCAACCAGCUGCCUGCAUUUGUGUCACAUAAUCAUAACAUAUUGGUUUAGUUCAUUUUUUCCUUUCUUCUAUUUUCACAUAAUUUUUGUUACCCAGUUCUCCUCUGACAAUGCCAACACCAUGAUGCAAGUUCUCAACAUCUCACAUCUGUCUACUACAAUAUCCUGCCAGAUCAUCUCCCCAUGUAUGCCAAAAAGAAAAUGAUCGUUUGCCUUGUGACGAAUUUGGACAACGGUGUCCCCCGAUUUUCUGGUCUAAGAGGAAGCUUAAUCCAAUUUCUUCUUGCAGAUGAGAAAGUAAGUACUCUGAUGACAUUUUGCCUAUGUAGCUUCAUUCUUCACUCAGUCACACUCAGUACUGUGUGAAUGAAAGGCCACAGAGUCAUAGGUAUAGUGGUUCCUUUGUGAAUUCAGCACAGUUCUGGUUGGAUUGUCACUACGUAAAAAGAACUGACAUCCCAGUGCAUUGUAUGUCUGCAGAUAGAGGUCUGCAAAGUAGCAAAUUUAUCCUGUGAAUCUAUAGAAAGUGGGGUUGAUUUUGAUGUGAAGCUUGAGAGAGAGAUAGAGACAGAGGAAAAAAGAGAGAUAAAGAGAGAAAAAGGGAAGGAAGGUGGAAGGAUAACAUAUGUGGAGAAUGUGUUUGUGUAUGGGCAUUUAUUAUACAUAUGCACAUACCUAUAUACAUGUAUGUAUUAUAUAUAAACCCAUAUACAUAUAUAUAUCCAUCCAUGUACAUGUCUAUGUGAACCAAUGAUUAUUUUCUUCUAAUAACCAAGAAAUCACAUUCGAAACAUAUUUAUGCCAGUCAGUCAGCUGCUAAGUAUUUACAAAGUACCUACUGUGUGCCAGGCACUGUGCUAAGAGCUGGGGAUAAAAAGAAAGAUGGAAAAAAAGUUCCUUCUCUCAAAGGAAUUCACACUCUAACAAGUCAGUACCAACAAGAUAAAAACAGGAAAAAUUGGAGAUAACUGACAGAGGCCACUAGCAUUAAGGGGGUUCAGGAAAUCAUCCAUAUAUUCUCCUGUACUUUAUUUGGGGAGAAUGGGCAGACACCAAAGCACUCCUAAAAUAGUUAUCUUCUGUUUCAGGGACAUACAUAAAUUUGAUUCUAUUCAAUAAAUAUGUUUUCAGUGCCA
rnacentral:lncRNA from 1 species